rnacentral:rRNA from 1 species
UACGGAGGAUCCGAGCGUUGUCCGGAUUUAUUGGGUUUAAAGGGUGCGUAGGCGGACUGAUAAGUCAGGGGUGAAAGCCGGUAGCUCAACUAUCGAAUAGCCUUUGAAACUGCCAGUCUUGAAUAUUGUUGAGGUAGGCGGAAUGUAUCAUGUAGCGGUGAAAUGCAUAGAUAUGAUACAGAACACCGAUUGCGAAGGCAGCUUACUAAGCAAUUAUUGACGCUGAGGCACGAAAGCGUGGGGAUCAAACAGG